rnacentral:rRNA from 1 species
AAUAAGCGGAGGAAAAGAAAUCAACAAGGAUUCCCCUAGUAACGGCGAGUGAAGUGGGAAAAGCUCAACUUUGUAAUCUGGCUGUUUUACAGUCCGAGUUGUAGUCUAGAGAAGCGUAAUCCGCGCCGGACCUUACAGAUGUCUGUUGGAAUGCAGUGUCAAAGAGGGUGAGAAUCCCGUACAUAGUAAGGACGCCCGUGUGCUUUGUGAUUUGCUUUCAAAGAGUCGAGUUGUUUGGGAAUGCAGCUCAAAUCGGGUGGUAAAUUCCAUCUAAAGCUAAAUAACGGCGAGAGACCGAUAGCGAACAAGUACCGUGAGGGAAAGAUGAAAAGCACUUUGGAAAGAGAAUGAAACAGUAUGUGAAAUUGCUGGAAAGGAAACGAUUGAAGUUAGACUUGCGCAGCGGGAAUUCAGCCUUGCUUCGGCCUGGUGUAUUUUUCCGUUAUUGCAGGCCAGCAUCAGUUUGUAGCACUGUAAAAGGGUGAUUGGAACGUGGCUUCCUCGGAAGUGUUAUAGCCUUUCACUGGAUGCAGAGUUGUGGACUGAGGAACGCAGCGUGCCGCAAGGCAAAGUCUUUAGACUUAAAGCGCUUAGGAUGCUGGUGGAAUAGCUUUAAACGACCCGUCUUGA